rnacentral:rRNA from 1 species
GAUGAACGCUGGCGGCGUGCCUAAUACAUGCAAGUCGAGCGAACGGACGAGAAGCUUGCUUCUCUGACGUUAGCGGCGGACGGGUGAGUAACACGUGGAUAACCUACCUAUCAGACUGGGAUCACUUCGGGAAACCGGAGCUAAUACCGUAUAAUAUUUUGAACCGCAUGGUUCAAUAGUAAAAGACGGUUUUGCUGUCACUUAUAGAUGGAUCCGCGCUGCAUUAGCUAGUUGGUAAGGUAACGGCUUACCAAGGCAACGAUGCAUAGCCGACCUGAGAGGGGGAUCGGCCACACUGGAACUGAGACACGGUCCAGACUCCUACGGGAGGCAGCAGUAGGGAAUCUUCCGCAAUGGGCGAAAGCCUGACGGAGCAACGCCGCGUGAGUGAUGAAGGUCUUCGGAUCGUAAAACUCUGUUAUUAGGGAAGAACAUAUGUGUAAGUAACUGUGCACAUCUUGACGGUACCUAAUCAGAAAGCCACGGCUAACUACGUG